rnacentral:rRNA from 1 species
UACGGAGGGAGCAAGCGUUGUUCGGAAUUACUGGGCGUAAAGGGCGAGUAGGUGGUUGACUAAGUCAGGUGUGAAAGCCCUCAGCUCAACUGAGGAAGCGCAUCUGAAACUGGUUAACUUGAGUACGGGAGAGGAGAGUGGAAUUCCUGGUGUAGAGGUGAAAUUAGGAGAUAUCAGGAGGAACAUCGGUGGCGAAGGCGACUCUCUGGACCGAUACUGACACUGAGACGCGAAAGCGUGAGGAGCAAACAGG